rnacentral:rRNA from 1 species
ACGGCUACCUUGUUACGACUUAGCCCCAGUCACCGGUUUUACCCUAGGGCGCUCCUUGCGGCAGCGCACUUCAGGCACCCCCGGCUUCCAUGGCUUGACGGGCGGUGUGUACAAGGCCCGGGAACGUAUUCACCGCGCCGUGGCUGAUGCGCGAUUACUAGCGAAUCCAGCUUCAUGGAGUCGGGUUGCAGACUCCAAUCCGAACUGAGACAGGCUUUCGGGUUCCGCUCCCUGUCGCCAGGUGGCUUCCCGCUGUACCUGCCAUUGUAACACGUGUGUCGCCCCGGACGUAAGGGCCGUGCUGAUUUGACGUCAUCCCCGCCUUCCUCGCAGCUUGCGCCGGCAGUCUCGACAGAGUCCUCAGCCUAACCUGUUAGCAACUGUCGAUGGGGGUUGCGCUCGUUAUGGCACUUAAGCCGACACCUCACGGCACGAGCUGACGACAACCAUGCAGCACCUCGACACAGGCUCCGUAGAGCCGACCCCUUUCAGGGCCGUUCCUGUGUCGUUUGAACCCGGGUAAGGUUC